AAACUGUGUUCAUAUAUAUUCGUGAAUUAACAAUAUCCAAACCCCUCAUCACAUCACACACUCAAAUCGAAAUUAAAUAAAUAAAGAGAUCUCUCAGUUCGUUCAUUUCACUCGGAUCUCAUUCGGAUCUACACUUAUUCGAUCCAAUUGCAAUGCCUCUCAGACUCGAAAUCAAGAGAAAACUAGCUCAGAGAUCGGAGAGAGUAAAGUCUGUCGAUCUGCAUCCCACCGAGCCAUGGAUUCUGGCAAGUUUGUACUCCGGCACUGUUUGCAUAUGGAAUUACCAGUCUCAGACUAUGGCAAAAUCUUUCGAGGUGACAGAGUUACCAGUAAGGUCAGCAAAGUUUAUACCCCGCAAACAGUGGGUUGUUGCUGGUGCAGAUGAUAUGUAUAUUCGUGUGUACAAUUACAACACAAUGGAUAAGGUCAAAGUUUUUGAGGCGCACACAGACUAUAUUAGAUGUGUUGCUGUUCAUCCUACACUUCCAUACGUGCUGUCAUCAGCUGAUGACAUGCUUAUAAAGCUCUGGGACUGGGAGAAGGGAUGGAUGUGCACUCAAAUUUUUGAGGGUCAUUCUCAUUAUGUCAUGCAAGUUACGUUUAAUCCAAAGGACACCAAUACUUUUGCAAGUGCAUCCCUUGAUCGUACCAUCAAGAUAUGGAAUCUCGGUUCUCCUGAUCCAAACUUCACAUUAGACGCGCAUCUGAAAGGAGUCAAUUGCGUAGAUUAUUUUACUGGUGGGGAUAAACCAUAUCUUAUCACUGGUUCUGAUGAUCAUACUGCUAAGGUGUGGGACUACCAAACUAAGAGUUGUGUUCAGACUCUAGAAGGUCAUACACACAAUGUAUCUGCUGUUUGUUUUCAUCCUGAACUUCCCAUAAUAAUAACAGGUUCAGAGGAUGGUACUGUCCGUAUAUGGCACUCAACUACUUAUAGACUCGAGAACACAUUGAAUUAUGGUCUUGAAAGAGUUUGGGCCGUUGGAUACAUGAAAGGGUCAAGAAGGGUUGUUAUUGGUUAUGAUGAAGGGACCAUCAUGGUGAAAAUCGGACGAGAGGAACCUGUAGCUAGUAUGGACAACAGCGGAAAAGUUAUAUGGGCAAAGCAUAAUGAGAUCCAAACUGUUAACAUUAGGAGUGUGGGACCAGAUAAUGAGGUUUCUGAUGGAGAAAGAUUGCCUUUGGCAGUUAGGGAGUUGGGCACCUGUGAUCUUUAUCCACAAAGUUUGAAGCAUAAUCCCAAUGGGCGGUUUGUUGUUGUAUGCGGAGAUGGUGAGUACAUUAUAUAUACGGCCUUGGCUUGGAGAAAUAGAUCAUUUGGUUCAGCACUAGAGAUUGCUUGGUCACCUGAUGGAGAAUAUGCUGCUAGGGAAAGUACUUCAAGAAUUAAAAUUUUUAGUAAAAGCUUCCAGGAAAAGAAAAGUAUUCGGCCAACGUUUUCUGCUGAGCGUAUAUAUGGUGGAACCUUGUUGGCAAUGUGCUCAAAUGACUUUAUUUGUUUUUAUGAUUGGGCUGAGUGUAGGUUAAUACGAAGAAUUGAUGUUACUGUUAAAAAUCUUUACUGGGCCGACAGUGGCGACCAGGUGGCUAUUGCUAGUGAUACUUCAUUUUACAUACUGAAGUUCAAUCGAGAAGUAGUUUCUGCACAUCUGGACAGUGGAAGAACAGCUGAUGAAGAAGGAGUAGAAGAUGCCUUUGAGCUCCUUUACGAGAUAAAUGAACGAGUCAGGACCGGUGUUUGGGUGGGAGAUUGUUUCAUUUAUAACAAUUCCUCUUGGAGGCUUAAUUACUGUGUCGGUGGAGAGGUAACUACAAUGUUUCAUUUGGACCGACCUAUGUACCUCUUGGGAUAUCUUGCCAAUCAGAGUAGGGUGUAUCUCAUCGAUAAAGAGUUCAAUGUUAUUGGAUAUACGUUGCUCCUCAGCCUGAUAGAGUACAAGACACUUGUGAUGCGUGGUGCACUAGAACAAGCUAAUCAGAUUCUACCUUCAAUACCCAAAGAGCAGCUCAAUAGUGUGGCCCAUUUCCUGGAAUCGCGAGGAAUGAUAGAGGAUGCACUAGAAGUUGCUACAGAUCCUGACUACAGAUUUGAACUGGCUAUACAGCUUGGGAGGCUCGAGAUUGCCAAGGAAAUUGCCACUGUAUCUCAGAGUGAAACCAAAUGGAAGCAAUUGGGAGAAUUAGCGAUGUCUGCUGGAAUGUUGGAGAUGGCUGAGGAAUGUUUAAGGCAGGCAAAUGACUUGAGCGGUUUGUUGUUACUCUACUCUUCUUUAGGAGAUGCGGAGGAAGUUUCUAAACUUGCAUUGCUUGCCAAAGAGAAUGGAAAAAACAAUGUUGCAUUUCUUUGUCUAUUUAUGUUGGGUAAGGUGGAAGAUUGCCUACAGCUCUUAAUUGACAGCAAUCGCAUACCCGAAGCUGCUCUAAUGGCAAGAUCUUAUUUACCUAGCAAAGUUUCAGAAAUAGUUGCUCUUUGGAGGAAAGAUCUUGUCAAGAUUAACCAAAAAGCUGCGGAAUCUUUGGCUGAUCCUGAAGAGUAUCCAAAUUUGUUUGAGGAUUGGCAACUUGCACUUGGUGUCGAAUCAAAACUUUCAGAGACAAGGAAUAGUUAUCCUCCUGCUGCUGAGUAUGUAAACCACAUCCAUAAAUCAAACGUCAAUCUUGUGGAAGCAUUUAGAAAUAUGCACGUGGAUGAAGAGGAACCCCAUCAAAAUGGUGGCCUAGAUCAUGAGGAUUCCGAGCAGAUUGGAAAUGAGAUGCCAGAAGGGACGGAUGAUCUGAAAGAGGAGGGGCAAGACGAUCAAAAUCAUGAUAGUCAUGACGAGAGUGUUGUGGUGGAUGCAGACUCUACAGAUGGUGCAGUAUUCGUCAAUGGUAACGAAGCUGAAGAAGAGUGGGGUACGAAUAAUGCAGGAAACCCGUCAGCUUAAAAGAAAUUGGUUGGGCCAGUGUGAAAUCCCAAUUUUGUUGCUGUGCUUACACCGCGGCACCAGAUUCAGUGACGACACUUGGUUCCUGUUGUAUCCAAUUCUUCCUUGAGGUUCUCUGAAGGGCCUGGAAGAGUUGGUUGUGGAACAGAGUGUCAGUUCACCAGAGCUGUGAUUUGUAGGCGAUUGAAUUUUAUCAGCAGAAUACAUACUAUAUAUACUUAAAAGCAUCAGUCAGAAGUCCAGUUUAGUUACCUGUAGUAGUUGUUUACAAAAAACUUUCGGGAGCCAAUUUGUUUGGCUAAAUUUUCGAGUAGCCACUUCGAAUGCAGAGUCAGUAAUAUGAUUGAUGAUUGAGAUAGCUGUGCAACGUUUUGAUGACAUUCAGUAUUGUAAAUUCUACAAAGAUUUUUUGAUUCA